AAGCCUACUGAAUCUAUUCGCCCUUCAAGAACUUUCUGCACAAGUGAUGAGUCAUUCUUGUCACCCUGGCCUUCAGCUGAAAUAUGCAUGACAGCAUUUUUCUGUCACCCCAGCUCUCUGGCCAAUUUUUAAAAAUGAUGGCACACUCACAUCACCUGGUCCUCAAGUCAAAAUUUUCCUUGACAUGGUCACAUCUUAUGAAUCCAGGGGGUUAAAAACCACUUUUCCAGGUAUAAUUGUCCGGCUGUAGUAAUUUGAGUUUUCAUUAAGAGACUCAAGUCUCCAUAAAACACAUUAAUAUUCUUUAGUUUAAGAAAGAUAGCUUCCAAUCAUUGAUAAUUGUUAUAUUGAUGAAAAGGUCUUGGUCAAAUGCAUGAACAUUUGUAUAAAAUAUUUUCUGAUGUUUCACAGGCACCUGAUUAAUAGUAAUCCGUGACACUAUAUUAAACAUUUCCCAACAUAAAUUCUGAUACACAAUUAAUGAAAUGGAAUCUUCUCUCAGAUGGUAUUCUGUCGAGGAAGAGGAUAUGGCUACCGACGCAAUACCAGGAUGGGGGUGGUGACGUGAUGUGGAACACUACGUGAACAGUUUGGCACAGCAGAAGGGUGAUGCAUUAAUAGGGGGGAGGGGGGACAAAUAUUGAAGCACCAAGGAGGCAUUCACAACUGCAUAGGGUGUAGUCAGAGGAUGUUGGCCUCUGCUGGGGAUAUGCACCCUGGAGUCAGGAUGAGAAUAGUUGUUGAGGAUGUGAAACAUGUGAUGUUUUCCCUCUGGGAGUUUUAUCGGCUAUAUUUAUUCACCGUUUUUCAUAGUAUAAAUGCUUAAAUAUUCUGGAAAUAUCUAUUUCAGUUUGUUUGAUAUUCUUAAAAUUAUACUUGUUUUAGGAAUUGAAGUCAAGCAGUCAUGUAUAUCUAAACUAUCUUAAAGACACUAUCUUUUAUGUUGAAUGUGUGUUUGGAAGCACUUCUGUGUUUCCUUAUUUUGUAAGAUCCCAAAUAAAAUAGAAAAAUGAAA